CCUACGGGUGGCAGCAGUGGGGAAUAUUGGGCAAUGGACGCAAGUCUGACCCAGCAACGCCGCGUGCAGGAUGAAGGCUUUCUGGUUGUAAACUUCUUUUUAUGGGGGAGAGCACUAGACGGUGUCCCUUGUAUAACCCACGGCUAACGACGUGCCAGCAGCCGCGGCAAUACGGAGGUGGCCAGCGUUGUGCGGAUUUAGUGGGUGAAAAGGGCGUGCAGCCGGAGAGGCAAGUCAGAUGUGAACUCCACAGGCUCAACCUGGGAACUGCAUUUGAAACUGGGGCGCUUGAGUAUGGGAGAGGUCAGCGGAAUUCGUAGUGUAGCGGUGAAAUGCGUAGAUAUUAGGAAGAACACCAGUGGCGAAGGCGGACUACUGGAGGACAACUGACGGUGAGGCGCGAAAGCGUGGGGAGCAAACAGGAUUAGAUACCCUUGUAGUC
rnacentral:rRNA from 1 species